CUAACACAUGCAAGUCGAGCGGUAGCACAGAGAGCUUGCUCUCGGGUGACGAGCGGCGGACGGGUGAGUAAUGUCUGGGAAACUGCCUGAUGGAGGGGGAUAACUACUGGAAACGGUAGCUAAUACCGCAUAACGUCGCAAGACCAAAGUGGGGGACCUUCGGGCCUCAUGCCAUCAGAUGUGCCCAGAUGGGAUUAGCUAGUAGGUGGGGUAACGGCUCACCUAGGCGACGAUCCCUAGCUGGUCUGAGAGGAUGACCAGCCACACUGGAACUGAGACACGGUCCAGACUCCUACGGGAGGCAGCAGUGGGGAAUAUUGCACAAUGGGCGCAAGCCUGAUGCAGCCAUGCCGCGUGUGUGAAGAAGGCCUUCGGGUUGUAAAGCACUUUCAGCGGGGAGGAAGGCGGUGAGGUUAAUAACCUCAUCGAUUGACGUUACCCGCAGAAGAAGCACCGGCUAACUCCGUGCCAGCAGCCGCGGUAAUACGGAGGGUGCAAGCGUUAAUCGGAAUUACUGGGCGUAAAGCGCACGCAGGCGGUCUGUCAAGUCGGAUGUGAAAUCCCCGGGCUCAACCUGGGAACUGCAUUCGAAACUGGCAGGCUAGAGUCUUGUAGAGGGGGGUAGAAUUCCAGGUGUAGCGGUGAAAUGCGUAGAGAUCUGGAGGAAUACCGGUGGCGAAGGCGGCCCCCUGGACAAAGACUGACGCUCAGGUGCGAAAGCGUGGGGAGCAAACAGGAUUAGAUACCCUGGUAGUCCACGCUGUAAACGAUGUCGAUUUGGAGGUUGUGCCCUUGAGGCGUGGCUUCCGGAGCUAACGCGUUAAAUCGACCGCCUGGGGAGUACGGCCGCAAGGUUAAAACUCAAAUGAAUUGACGGGGGCCCGCACAAGCGGUGGAGCAUGUGGUUUAAUUCGAUGCAACGCGAAGAACCUUACCUGGUCUUGACAUCCACAGAACUUUCCAGAGAUGGAUUGGUGCCUUCGGGAACUGUGAGACAGGUGCUGCAUGGCUGUCGUCAGCUCGUGUUGUGAAAUGUUGGGUUAAGUCCCGCAACGAGCGCAACCCUUAUCCUUUGUUGCCAGCGGUUAGGCCGGGAACUCAAAGGAGACUGCCAGUGAUAAACUGGAGGAAGGUGGGGAUGACGUCAAGUCAUCAUGGCCCUUACGACCAGGGCUACACACGUGCUACAAUGGCAUAUACAAAGAGAAGCGACCUCGCGAGAGCAAGCGGACCUCAUAAAGUAUGUCGUAGUCCGGAUUGGAGUCUGCAACUCGACUCCAUGAAGUCGGAAUCGCUAGUAAUCGUAGAUCAGAAUGCUACGGUGAAUACGUUCCCGGGCCUUGUACACACCGCCCGUCACACCAUGGGAGUGGGUUGCAAAAGAAGUAGGUAGCUUAAC
rnacentral:rRNA from 1 species